rnacentral:rRNA from 1 species
UAAAACGUAGGACGCGAGCGUUAUCCGGAGUUACUGGGCGUAAAGCGCGGGCAGGCGGCUGCUCAAGUGGGACGUGAAAGCGCCCGGCUAAACCGGGCGAGGCCGUUCCAGACUGAGUGGCUGGAGGGCAGUAGAGGUGGGUGGAAUUCCGGGUGGAGUGGUGAAAUGCGUAGAGAUCCGGAGGAACACCAGAGGCGAAGGCGGCCCACUGGGCUGCACCUGACGCUGAGCCGCGAAAGCCAGGGGAGCGAACGGGAUUAGAAACCCCGGUAGUCCUGGCCGUAAACGAUGUCAACUAGGUGCUGGGACCGAACGGUUUCAGCGCCGCAGCCAACGCGAUAAGUUGACCGCCUGGGGAGUACGGUCGCAAGGCUA